ensembl:lncRNA
AUGAAUCCGGCGGCACUACGCGUUCCUACGCUGGGGCCCAGGCCCGGGGCGUCCGUGCCCAUCAUCAUCAUCCCCAGAGCGGGAGGCGCGGAGGAUCCCCUCCCCCGGCGACUCCGCACUUCAAGGCCGCCCGGGCUGAGCCGGAAAGCUCGCGGCCAAAGCGGAGCCCCACCGCGCUCCUCCCAGCUGCCGCCGCGGCCCCGCGCCCCGCACGGCUCCUUGGUUCCCCAUCACCCCCCCUCUCCCCGCCCGUUUUUCUGGCGGUACCGGCGCGCCGUUCCCCUCGCUGCCGCGCCCCGAGGAGGGACCCGCACCCGGCACCGAGACGCGCUCCGCGCCGGCGAGUUCCCCUCAGGCCGAGACCCGGGUGAGGCGGCGAAGUCGUUAUUCCUCGUAGCGGGAGCGGGCGGACGUGGCGGCCCCGCACCGCGGAACCGUCCUCACCGCGUCCGCUCCCCCCCCCCGCCGCGCUCCCGCACCCGCGAUCCGCGUUUCUCCGGGAGCCGCGUUCGGGGCCGUUCCGCGCGUUCCUCGGAGCCGCCGGGCUCCCCCCGCUCCGCGUCCCCGCCGUCCUCCCCGCAGCCGCGCUGCGGAUCGAGCCCGUCCCGGGAAACGCCCGAACGCCGCCGAGCCCCGCGUCCGGACCGGCCGCAGCCGUCGCGCCGGGCUGGAAGCACGCGCGUGUCGCGCGCUCGCGUUGGUUCCGCGUGCCCCGCGGCGGAGGCUUCGGCCGCCGUCGUUUCCCGGCGGGGAGCGCUCCCGGGGCCGCGCCUCGCAGCCGGGAGCUCCCGCCGCGGAACCGAGCCCGAACUCUCGCGCCCGGCCCCCGCCCCCACAACCCCGGCUGCGCCGACGGGACGGGCCGAGCUCAGCGCCGCCUGCGCGUGGCUACGGGGGUGGCUGUGUCCCGCGCUGUGUCCCGCGCUGUGUCCCGCGCUGUGUCCCGCGCUGUGUCCCGCGCUGUGUCCCGCCCGCCCCUCCCCGCCGUUCCCACGCGUGUCAGCUGCCGAGCCCCGCUCUCGCGCCCCCCCGGUUCCGACCCCCCGUUUUAACGCCCUUCCCCUUUUCCCCUCUUUCCUUCUCCUUUCGCUCGUUUCCGAAUGCUUUCCCACUUUCCCCACUUUCCCCAUUUUCCCUUCUUUUCCCACUUACCCUCUUUUGCUCCCUCUGCUUCCCUCCCCGUUCCCGUUUCCUCCACCUUGUCCCCGUUUCCCUUUUCCCUCAUUUUCCCUUCUUUUCCCGUCCCUGUCCCCAUUUUCCCAGUUCCCGUCUCCCCGCUCUCCCGUUCCCUUCGCUUUCCCUUCCUUUCUCCCAUUCCCGUUCCCCGCUUUUUGCCCUUUCCUUUGCUCCCCCCCCUUCCCACGCUUUCCCCCCUUCCCGUUCCUCCUGCCGCCCCAUUUUCCCUCCUUCAGCCCCGCUUGUUUUCCCACUUUCCCAUUCCCCACUCUUUUUCCCCAAUUUUCCCGUUUCCCCGCCGCUCCAUCCCCCUCUCCUCCAUCCUUUCUCCCUUUCCCUUCUUUCCCCUUUUUCCCGAUUUUCCCUUCGCUCCCGUCAGCUCCGGGAGUGCGGGAUCCGUCAGGGGCGGGGGGGAGCGGGAUUUGA